rnacentral:rRNA from 1 species
UACGUAGGGUGCGAGCGUUGUCCGGAAUUACUGGGCGUAAAGAGCUCGUAGGUGGUUUGUCGCGUUGUUCGUGAAAUCUCACGGCUUAACUGUGAGCGUGCGGGCGAUACGGGCAGACUUGAGUACUGCAGGGGAGACUGGAAUUCCAGGUGUAGCGGUGAAAUGCGUAGAUAUCUGGAGGAACACCGGUGGCGAAGGCGGCAUCCUGGACCGGUAUUGACGCUGAGGCGCGAAAGCUAGGGGAGCAAACGGG